rnacentral:rRNA from 1 species
CCUACGGGUGGCUGCAGUGGGGAAUAUUGCACAAUGGAGGGAACUCUGAUGCAGCGACGCCGCGUGAGGGAAGAAGGAAUUCGGGAUGUAAAGCUCUAUCAGCAGGGAAGAAAGUGACGGUACGUGAAAAAGAAGCUAUGGCUAAAUACGUGCCAGCAGCCGCGGUAAUACGUAGGGAGCAAGCGUUAUCCGGAUUUACUGGGUGUAAAGGGAGAGUAGGUGGCAGAGCAAGUCCGAAGUGAAAACCCAAAGCUCAACUAUGGGAAUGCUUUAGAAACUGGUCAGCUAGAGUGCAGUAGAGGCAAGUGGAAUUCUUGGUGUAGCGGUGAAAUGCGUAGAUAUUAGGAGGAACACCGGUGGCGAAGGCGGCUUGCUGGACUGUAACUGACACUGAGGCUCGAAAGCGUGGGGAGCAAACAGGAUUAGAUACCCGGGUAGUC